rnacentral:rRNA from 1 species
UACGUAGGGUGCAAGCGUUAAUCGGAAUUACUGGGCGUAAAGCGUGCGCAGGCGGUUUUGUAAGACAUGCGUGAAAUCCCCGGGCUCAACCUGGGAAUUGCGCUUGUGACUGCAAAGCUGGAGUGCGGCAGAGGGGGAUGGAAUUCCGCGUGUAGCAGUGAAAUGCGUAGAUAUGCGGAGGAACACCGAUGGCGAAGGCAAUCCCCUGGGCCUGCACUGACGCUCAUGCACGAAAGCGUGGGGAGCAAACAGG